rnacentral:rRNA from 1 species
CGCGGCCUAUCAGCUUGUUGGUGGGGUGAUGGCCUACCAAGGCGACGACGGGUAGCCGGCCUGAGAGGGUGUCCGGCCACACUGGGACUGAGAUACGGCCCAGACUCCUACGGGAGGCAGCAGCGGGGAAUAUUGCACAAUGGGCGCAAGCCUGAUGCAGCGACGCCGCGUGAGGGAUGACGGCCUUCGGGUUGUAAACCUCUUUCAAUAGGGACGAAGCGCAAGUGACGGUACCUAUAGAAGAAGCACCGGCCAACUACGUGCCAGCAGCCGCGGUAAUACGUAGGGUGCGAGCGUUGUCCGGAAUUACUGGGCGUAAAGAGCUCGUAGGUGGUUUGUCGCGUUGUCCGUGAAAACUCACAGCUUAACUGUGGGCGUGCGGGCGAUACGGGCAGACUGGAGUACUGCAGGGGAGACUGGAAUUCCUGGUGUAGCGGUGGAAUGCGCAGAUAUCAGGAGGAACACCGGUGGCGAAGGCGGGUCUCUGGGCAGUAACUGACGCUGAGGAGCGAAAGCGUGGGGAGCGAACAGGAUUAGAUACCCUGGUAGUCCACGCCGUAAACGGUGGGUACUAGGUGUGGGUUUCCUUCCUUGGGGUCCGUGCCGUAGCUAACGCAUUAAGUACCCCGCCUGGGGAGUACGG